AAUAGAUACCCAGGUAGUCCACGCCGUAAACGAUGAGUGCUAAGUGUUAAGGGGGUUCCACCCCUUAGUGCUGCAGCUAACGCAUUAAGCACUCCGCCUGGGGAGUACGGUCGCAAGACUGAAACUCAAAGGAAUUGACGGGGGCCCGCACAAGCGGUGGAGCAUGUGGUUUAAUUCGAAGCAACGCGAAGAACCUUACCAGGUCUUGACAUCCCGCUGACCGCCAUGGAGACAUGGCCUUCCCUUCGGGGACAGCGGUGACAGGUGGUGCAUGGUUGUCGUCAGCUCGUGUCGUGAGAUGUUGGGUUAAGUCCCGCAACGAGCGCAACCCUUGUCCUUAGUUGCCAUCAUUCAGUUGGGCACUCUAAGGAGACUGCCGUACAAAUACGGAGGAAGGUGGGGAUGACGUCAAAUCAUCAUGCCCCUUAUGACCUGGGCUACACACGUGCUACAAUGGGUGGUACAAAGGGCGGCGAACCCGCGAGGGGGAGCGAAUCCCAAAAAGCCACUCUCAGUUCGGAUUGCAGG
rnacentral:rRNA from 1 species